rnacentral:rRNA from 1 species
GACGAACGCUGGCGGCGUGCUUAACACAUGCAAGUCGUACGGUAAGGCCCUUUCGGGGGUACACGAGUGGCGCACGGGUGCGUAACACGUGAGUAACCUGCCCACAACUUUGGGAUAACGCUAGGAAACUGGUGCUAAUACUGGAUAUGUGCUCCUGCUGCAUGGUGGGGGUUGGAAAGCUCCGGCGGUUGUGGAUGGACUCGCGGCCUAUCAGCUUGUUGGUGGGGUAGUGGCCUACCAAGGCGGCGACGGGUAGCCGGCCUGAGAGGGUGACCGGCCACAUUGGGACUGAGAUACGGCCCAGACUCCUACGGGAGGCAGCAGUGGGGAAUAUUGCACAAUGGGCGCAAGCCUGAUGCAGCAACGCCGCGGGCGGGAUGACGGCCUUCGGGUUGGAAACCGCUUUCAGCAGGGACGAAGCUUUUUGUGACGGUACCUGCAGAAGAAGCACCGGCUAACUACGUG